AAUAGAAGUCCUAAGGAUGGAUUCAUUGAUAAGAGCAACUCUAGGAUUCAUCAGGUGGCUAACAGGUGAAAGGAAGAUACCCUAGACGAUAGAUUCAGAAACCGGGUCAAUCCACUCUCAUGACAGAGACCCCCAUAACUCUACCACUUCCUAAUCUCAACUCUCGUUGAUGAAACAUAGCAGAGCAUGGUUUAAGCAACAAUCUACCAAAGUCAAUAAGCAGUCUAGCCAAUCUCUUGGUCUAGAGUCUACAAAUCUCUAGAAUUCGUAGAUCAGGCAUCCAUUUGAACGUCAUUUGGACGCUGGAUACCUAUGGUCGAAUUUCCACAUUAGCGAGCAAAAACCGCAUAGGAGCCAACAAAUCCAGAAGGGAUCUAAUCUAAUCUUAACCACCUGACUAACCUAGAGAUUACCCUAAUCUAAUCCAUCCUCAAAAACCCUAAUCACUACUCAAGCAACAUAACUAAGAACACAAACCCAAAAAUUC
rnacentral:sRNA from 1 species